CCUACGGGGGGCUGCAGUGGGGAAUAUUGGACAAUGGGCGCAAGCCUGAUCCAGCCAUGCCGCGUGAGUGAUGAAGGUCUUCGGAUCGUAAAGCUCUGUGGGAAGGGAAGAAAAAAGUAUACCUCAUACGUAUGCUCUUGACGGUACCUUCUUAGCAAGCACCGGCUAACUCUGUGCCAGCAGCCGCGGUAAUACAGAGGGUGCAAGAGUUGCUCGGACUUAUUGGGCGGAAAGCGCACGUAGGGGAUCUGAAAGCCCUCGGCGUAACCGAGGAAGUGCAUCCGAAACUGCCAGGCUUGAGUAUGGAAGAGGGUCGCGGAAUUCCCGGUGUAGAGGUGAAAUUCGUAGAUAUCGGGAGGAACACCAGUGGCGAAGGCGGAGACCUGGGCCAAUACUGACGCUGAGGUGCGAAAGCGUGGGGAGCAAACAGGAUUAGAUACCCCAGUAGUC
rnacentral:rRNA from 1 species